rnacentral:SRP_RNA from 1 species
GCUGGGGCUGAUGGCACCUGCUUGUAAUUCCCAGUACUGAAGAGGCUGAGGCUGGGGGAAUCACUUGAACUCAGGACUACUGAGCUACAGUGGACUAAGUUGAUUGGGUGUCUGCAUUAAGUUUGGUACCAGUAUGCUGAUGGAAGUAGAGGUCCACCAGGAUACCUAAGGAGAGGCAAACUGGCCCAGGAUGGAAAUGGGACAUGUGAAGGGUCCUGUGCUUAUCAGUAGAGGGAUUGGGACCAUGAGUAGCCUGUGUAGCCUUUCGGCCUGUGUAAAAUAGGGAGACCCAGACUCCA